GAGUUUGAUCAUGGCUCAGGAUGAACGCUAGCGAUAGGCUUAACACAUGCAAGUCGAGGGGCAGCAUAGAGUCAGCUUGCUGAUUUAGAUGGCGACCGGCGGAUGGGUGCGUAACGCGUAUGCAACUUACCUGUCAGAGGGGGAUAACCCGGAGAAAUUCGAACUAAUACCGCAUAUACUUGAGAUGCUGCAUGGUAUUUCAAGGAAAUAUUUAUAGCUGACAGAUAGGCAUGCGAUCCAUUAGCUAGUAGGUGAGGUAACGGCUCACCUAGGCGACGAUGGAUAGGGGAACUGAGAGGUUAAACCCCCACACUGGUACUGAGACACGGACCAGACUCCUACGGGAGGCAGCAGUGAGGAAUAUUGGUCAAUGGGCGAGAGCCUGAACCAGCCAAUUCGCGUGAAGGACGACUGCCCUAUGGGUUGUAAACUUCUUUAGUAGGGGAUUAAAGUUUGCCUUGCGAGGCAAUUUGCAA
rnacentral:rRNA from 1 species